UACAGAGGUCUCAAGCGUUGUUCGGAUUUAUUGGGCGUAAAGGGUUCGUAGGUGGCCGACUAAGCCAGACGUGAAAUCCCUCAGCUUAACUGGGGAACUGCGUCUGGGACUGGUCGGCUUGAGGACAGGAGAGGAACGCGGAAUUCCAGGUGUAGCGGUGAAAUGCGUAGAUAUCUGGAGGAACACCGGUGGCGAAGGCGGCGUUCUGGACUGUUUCUGACACUGAUGAACGAAAGCCAGGGGAGCAAACGGG
rnacentral:rRNA from 1 species